UGAGGGAAAGGCGAAAAGAACCCCGGCGAGGGGAGUGAAAAAGAACCUGAAACCGUGUACGUACAAGCAGUGGGAGCCCCACCACCAAAGCAUUCUCUGGUGUUGAAGGCCCUGCAAAGCAGCAUCGCGGUGGCGGAGCGUCGUUUGCGACGCCCAACACACAAAACAAGCGGUGAGUGCUUUGGGGUGGGGUGACUGCGUACCUUUUGUAUAAUGGGUCAGCGACUUAUAUUCUGUAGCAAGGUUAACCGAAUAGGGGAGCCGGAGG
rnacentral:rRNA from 13 species